UCAGAAUUUGAGGAUGGCUGCUACUGACACUAGCAACCCACCAGCAGAAAAAUUAUGGGAAGAGGGGAAAAAAAGAUACAAGCUCGUGUCUCCACCUUAAAAUGGAUGAUCUCGGAGGAGAUGCGGACUGGAUAAAAUGAGAAAAAGUGACAUGUCCGUUCCUUCCCCUGUCAAGAACAUAGAAGCAGCACACACAUUGAUUAUUUCAAAGGCGAUGUUCAAAUACUUGCUGAAGAUAUUUCACAGUCAGCUGCCGUUCCAAGAAUGAGGAACAUUUUGGAAUUGGUUAUCCUUCUGUUAUCUUCAAAAGUCACAGACUUUUGGUUUUAAUUCAUCUUGGCCCCUAACUGGUUCAUGAAAAGAGAAGGCCGUGAACCCAGCUGCAGUGUCUGCUUCCAGAGCCCACGAGUUUCGUCCUGUGUGUGUGGAGCUGCCGAGGUGGGUGGGCCGCUGCCCUGGGGGACAUCCGCAGUGCUGAUCGCCUUGGCUUCGGAGGACCGUGCGAAUGCGUGCAGGCCCGUGUCAGCCUCCGGGUUUUGUUUCCAAAUGUGCUAUCGAUGAGCAACAGCCCAAAGGAGCAAAAUCAUCGAGACAGCCAUGUGGGUGGACAGGAAGGAUGGGAAUUACACCGCGUUUCCAAGUUCCCUGGGGGUGAAAAUCCGCUCUCCUCAUCGCAAAACACUGCAGUCCUUGGAAGCACAACACUGUGGGGCCGGCUUUCGAAGCAAACGGCUUUUGUUUGGAAGCACACAGUCAGGUCUGGCCUGGGAGAGUUCCUGGCAAAAGCAGCUUUCUCGGUGAAGUCAGUCCCAUGAAAGAACAUGCCUUUAUCACAGAGAGCGCCUUCUCCUAAUUCCCACCUUAGAAGCAGAGGCCAAGUUCCCCUCGGCUGAGCUCGUGGCUCUUACCCAGGGCUCAGUGCCUCCGCGUCAGCCACCGGUAAUGAGAGAUCAAUCCCACGUGUGCUGUCCCUGGUUGUGCCUCAGUGGUGCUACCUCCUGUCACAUGACCCACUCCUUUGCCUUCAAAUGGCAUCUUAGAGACGGCAAAGGCGCCGAGGCCAUUACUCUGGACCGUCUCCUAGACCUGGAGAGACUCCUUGACUUCAGGCUGAAACCAUGCCUGUCCGGUCAUGUGGUCUGACUUGACUUAAAAAGGCAUCAAAUACAAAUAGAAUUCUGGGAAGUAAAUCAACUUUAGGCCUUUUACUGCGGAAGGCUUAAAAUAAUUCCCAAAAUGGCUAAUUAUGUCUUCCUUUGCUCAGUAGUUGGGCUUAAUAAUAAGCACCAAACAUAUGGCGGAAACGGGGCUGCCCAACCCAUCCUGGCCUUCUGUUCAGCAGCAGGGGCACUGGUCUUAAAGGCAAUCACACGCAGGAAGCUCACACAUAGUCAUGGUUGUGGUUGUAGUGUCUGUUAUGGCUGGGCACCGUAAACACUAACCUGGCUCCUAAAACUGUCUUCCAACUCACUAGUAAUCAAAGGCACACAGUGUAAAAUAACACUAACAAUCUUUUUCUUUUUCUUUUUUUUACCUAUCAGACUAAAGGAGAUUUUUUAAAUGAUAUAAUACUGGGAAGAAUUUGAUGAAAUAAGCACUUUCAUACCUUAUGGUGAGAGUAUAAAUUGGGAUCAUCUUUCUGGAGAGCGAUUUGGCAGAAGUACAAGGGCCAUAACAAUAUUCAUACAUUUUGAUCCCAACAUUUCAUUCCCAGCCAUCUAUCUUAAGGAAACAGUAUAAACCGCAGACAAAGAUUUAAGUAUAAGAAUGUUCACUGUCACACUACCGUGGACUCUUGACCAACAUGUUGCUUAGGGGUGCCGACCUGUGCAGUCAAAAAUGCAUUUGUAAUUUUUGACUCCUCAAAACCUUAGUUGUCCCUCAGCAUUUUCAAGAGAUUAAUUCUAGGACCCCCUGUGGAUACCAAGACUCAUGGGUGCUCUAGCCCCCUAUAUAAAUGGCACAGCCCAAUGCAUACAAUUGGCCCUCCCCGUUCGUGGAUUCCCAAUCAUAGACUGAAGACAGUCCUGAUAGUUAUUGAAAAAAAUACACCUAUCAGUGGACCCACACAGUUCAAACCCUUACUGCUCGAGGACCAACUGGCUUUAUAAUUAGCAACAUGUACAGUGAAAGAAGAAUGAUUAAGAAAAUUAUGUACAUCUACCACAGUCUAUGGGACAUUCGUGCAGUCGUUAAAAAUCAUGCUGACAUAUGCUUUCAUAGGCAGAGGGGAGUGAAGAAAAUAUGAUACAGAGCAAUGAUCUUGACUAUGUAAAAUAAUAUAUUCAACAUAUUUUGGGGGAUAAAAAUAAUGCUAUUUUUAAUACUUCAGCAGAUUCUCAAUUCCAGUAGAGAAGCUGAAAUUGGUAUUUGUCAGGGGUUACGGGGCAGGGAGAUGUUCUGCGCUAAGGUCACUGUCGUUGGGGAAGCUCUGAACCAGCAGAACAAGCCAAAUCCAACUGCGAAAGAAAAAUUCUGUUUAAUAUCACCAAAGUCUGCCUUCAUCAUGGGCUGUGGGGACCUCCACGGAGCUCCUCCAUGUGUUCAAACAGCACGUUUUACAGAGCCCCCACUAUGUGUCAAAGCACUGUGCUAAGUGCAGGGAGACAGUUAGUAAGCAACAGACACAUACUGGCAGCUCCCA